rnacentral:snRNA from 1 species
AUCAAAUGGUGCGUUCGUGAUC